AAGAUUCUAGUAAAAGUUAUUACAUAGCAAUGUCAACGCUAAAUUACAGUAAAAUUCUGUGAAUCUU
rnacentral:tRNA from 3 species